UACGUAGGGACCAAGCGUUGUCCGGAAUCAUUGGGCGUAAAGAGCGUGUAGGCGGCUUGUUAAGUCUUGCGUGAAAUCUCGGGGCUCAACCCCGAGCGGUCGUGAGAAACUGGCAGGCUAGAGUGCGGGAGAGGAGAGUGGAAUUCCUGGUGUAGCGGUAGAAAUGCGCAGAUAUCAGGAAGAACACCCGUGGCGAAGGCGGCUCUCUGGAACGCAACUGACGCUGAGACGCGAAAGCGUGGGGAGCAAACAGG
rnacentral:rRNA from 1 species